AUUGAACGCUGGCGGCAGGCCUAACACAUGCAAGUCGAGCGGAGCGGCCGACGGGUGAGUAAUUACUAGGAAUCUGCCCGGUAGUGGGUGAUAACGUCCGGAAACGGGCGCUAAUACCGUAUACUAUCAGAUGAGCCUAGGUCGGAUUAGCUAGUGUGUGGGGUAAAGGCCUACCAAGGCGAAGAUCCGUAACUGGUCUGAGAGGAUGAGCAGUCAAACUGGAACUGAGACACGGUCCAGACUCCAACGGGAGGAAGCGGUGGGGAAAAUAGGACAAUGGGCGAAACCCUGACCCGGACAUGCCGCGUAGGUGAAGAAGGUCUUCGGAUUGGAAAGCAAUUUAAGUUUGGAGGCGUUACCAAAAGAAUAAGCACCGGCUAACUACGUGCCAGCAGCCGCGGUAAUAC
rnacentral:rRNA from 1 species